GUGACCGCGGUGCCUCUUUAAAAAUGGCGCAGCACAGACGGCCGUGGGAGGCUACUCGGAGCUGCUGCUACCAGGAACGUCUGUCUGUGUGCCAGUUAUUUGUGUUACCGGGAUUUGUCGGAUUUAAGAGGGACCUGAUAUUCCCUAGCCAGACCUGGUGAGAGGGGGCAGGAGACCCCCGGACCUGGAGCAUCACCCAGCCAGGUGCAGAGGAGGUCCCCCUUAAGGGGCAUAGGUGACCCCGGCGUCGGGGCCAAAAGGCCACAGGACAGGCACGCUCAGCCGCACCGGACGGCAGCCAGUGGGGCCAUCGCACGCUGGACACUGAGACGCGGGUCAAGGACGGAGCCAGGACCAGGAGGACAACGGAUAAAAGACCAUCCCCACCCAGAUGAAUCAAGGUGUCCAAUAUGCGAGUAAAAGUGGAAUGGAAGCCGGGUGCCGACGUAACCCCAGAGAGAGUCACCCCCGGGCAGCACCGCCAGCGUAUCCCAACUGGCCCCCUAGCCAGCCGCAGCAGGCGCCUCCACCUCCCAGGGCGACCGGGAGUAAAUGAAGAA